rnacentral:misc_RNA from 1 species
UGAAUUUGCACCCAGUUUGCUCGUGAGCUUCCUCUUUAAACCUUCAAUUUCAUUUUCUCCUGGCUUCAACCGUCCCCCAGGGAGCUUGCAAAAGGUAUUGCCUAUUUGCAAAAGUAGAAUAUGGGGAUGUUUAUGUUCUUGCACCAGCAGAAUUGCUUCAACACUUGUCCUCAUGCCUUCCUUCAUAUAGUUGACUUUCAUGCGAGCAAGACGAUCAGCGACGGAGGUGUCCUUCUCGAGCUUCGGCUCUUUGGUACCGAAGGUGUAGCUGGAAAGUGGAUAGGUGUUCACCACCGGCGACGUCACCAUGGCUGUGUUCACUCUGCAGCUGCCGAGCAAAGCCGGAAGGAAGUUGAAAAACCUUGGUGAUGACCUGCG